UUUCAAUGAUGAAUGAAUUUAGCUCACUUUGAACCACUGUGAAACGACAGGAACUUCUGGGAAAC